GGGUGGGCACUCUAAGGAGACUGCCGGUGACAAACCGGAGGAAGGUGGGGAUGACGUCAAGUCAUCAUGGCCCUUACGAGUAGGGCUACACACGUGGUACAAUGGUCGGUACAAAGGGUUGCAAGCCGCGAGGUGGAGCUAAUCCCAUAAAACCGAUCGUAGUCCGGAUCGCAGUCUGCAACUCGACUGCGUGAAGUCGGAAUCGCUAGUAAUCGUGAAUCAGAAUGUCACGGUGAAUACGUUCCCGGGCCUUGUACACACCGCCCGUCACACCAUGGGUGUGGGUUGCUCCAGAAGUAGCUAGUCUAACCGCAAGGGGGACGGUUACCACGGAGUGAUUCAUGACUGGGGUGAAGUCGUAACAAGGUAGCCGUAGGGGAACCUGCGGCUGGAUCACCUCCUUAAUCG
rnacentral:sRNA from 1 species